UUGGUGUGGAUUUGUUGGUUUGUAUUUAUGAAUGAAAUAAAUAGUUUUACUAUUUUCUUUUACUAAGUUCAGAAAAAUAAUGCUUUAUUGAUGAUAUUAUUAUAAAAUAUGUAGAUGUUGAAUUAGUUUACAUCUGCUGCUCAAACUGUUGAGAUCAGACUCAAAUCAUCAGAGAACAGAGAUCAGCUUUGAUUGAAUAAACAGCAGAGGGCAAUAAAGACCUAUCAUACUCCUCCUUGAGUGGGAGGAGCCAAUCCCAUUCCUGUGUGGGAAUGAUACUUUCGGUUCUGUUUUUACUCAUAUCUCACUAAAGCUGCAGUGGUUUACUAAAUUUAAACAGCCAGAAUAUAAAACUCAUGCAGAACUUUUACAAUGUUCAGAUGCUUCAAUCUUCUUCUGCUGCUGUUUUGUCUCGUCUAUCACAGCGG